UGUAUGGUAGUUAUUUAGGUAUUGUUUUGGACUCUGGGGAUGGUGUGAGCCACACUGUUCCUAUCUACGAAGGCUAUGCUCUCCAUCAUGCCAUCUUGCUUCUCGACCUAGCUGGUCGUGAUUUCACCGAUGCCCUCAUGAAAAUUUUAACGGAGAGUGGGUAUUCUUUCACGACGACGGCUGAACGGGAAAUUGUUAGGGACAUGAAGGAAAAUCUAGCUUACAUUGCUCUUGACUAUGAACAAGAGCUGGAGACGGAAAUCAGCUCUGCUGUGGAGAAAAGCUAUAAGCUACCAGAUGGACAGGUUAUUACCAUUUGAGCCGAACGAUUCCGCUGUCCAGAGGUCCUCUUCCAGCCAUCCAUGAUCGGGAUGGAAGCUGCUGGCAUUCAAGAAACGACAUACAACUGUAUAAUGAAAUGUGACGUGGAUAUUAGGAAAGAUCUAUAUGGAAAUAUUGUCCUCAGUGGUGGCACCACUAUAUUCCCAGGAAUUGCCGCAGAAUUUGCAAGGAAAUCAGAGCGUUAGCUCCUAGCAGCAUGAAGAUUAAAGUGGUUACACCAUCGGAGAGGAAGUACAGUGUUUGGAUAGGAGGCUCCAUUUUUGCAUCCCUCAGCACCUUCCAACAGAUGUGGACUUUGAAGGCGGAGUACGAUGAAUCGGGGCCAUCAAUUGUACACAGGAAAUGCUUCUAAUGAAGAGCGAGCCUAUACGCAUGGUACACAUUUUGCAUUACAGCUAAGCUUAUAAAUCAAAUGGUUGCUUUUCCUUUCGUUU